rnacentral:rRNA from 1 species
GACGAACGCUGGCGGCGUGCUUAACACAUGCAAGUCGAACGAAGAGCGAUGGAAGCUUGCUUCUAUCAAUCUUAGUGGCGAACGGGUGAGUAACGCGUAAUCAACUUGCCCUUCAGAGGGGGACAACAGUUGGAAACGACUGCUAAUACCGCAUACGAUCUAAUCUCGGCAUCGAGGAUAGAUGAAAGGUGGCCUCUACAUGUAAGCUAUCACUGAAGGAGGGGAUUGCGUCUGAUUAGCUAGUUGGAGGGGUAACGGCCCACCAAGGCGAUGAUCAGUAGCCGGUCUGAGAGGAUGAACGGCCACAUUGGGACUGAGACACGGCCUAGACUCCUACGGGAGGCAGCAGUGGGGAAUCUUCCGCAAUGGACGAAAGUCUGACGGAGCAACGCCGCGUGAGUGAUGACGGCCUUCGGGUUGUAAAGCUCUGUUAAUCGGGACGAAAGGCCUUCUUGCGAAUAGUGAGAAGGAU